UACAGAGGGUGCGAGCGUUAUUCGGAUUUACUGGGCGUAAAGGGCGCGUAGGCGGUUUUGUAAGUUUGUUGUGAAAUCCCUCGACUCAAUCGAGGAAGUGCAUCGAAUACUACAAGACUAGAGUAUAGGAGAGGAGAACGGAAUUCCUGGUGUAGAGGUAAAAUUCGUAGAUAUCAGGAGGAACAACAGAGGCGAAGGCGGUUCUCUGGACUAUUACUGACGCUGAGGCGCGAAAGCGUGGGGAGCAAACAGG
rnacentral:rRNA from 1 species